rnacentral:rRNA from 1 species
UACGUAGGGGGCAAGCGUUGUCCGGAUUUAUUGGGCGUAAAGCGCGUGUAGGCGGCCAGGUAGGUCCGCUGUGAAAACUCGAGGCUCAACCUCGAGACGCCGGUGGAAACCAUCAGACUAGAGUCCGGAAGAGGAGAGUGGAAUUCCGUGGUGUAGCGGUGAAAUGCGCAGAUAUCAGGAAGAACACCCGUGGCUAAGGCGGCUCUCUAGUACGGUACUGACGCUGAGACGCGAAAGCGUGGGGAGCGAACAGG